AAUCACAAGAGCAUUAUUGUGGCGGUCAAAAGAAGCUUUGUCUUUACCAGGUGGGAGUUGUGGUUUUGAUAGUGCACAGGUGACACCAGGGCUAUCUUUAGAAGUAGAAGGAGAUCUAGGAGACUGAGAAGCCAUUGUUUCAUUUCUCUUCUUUUUCGUAAGACGUAACUCCUUGAAUCUAUAGGUGUAGCUGGAACUAGUAAGAAGUGGUAAAAUGCGGAUAUAUACGAAGGUACACCAGUGGCGAAAGCGAGCUACUGGGAUACAAACAACCUGUGGUUGGUUCAUAAGGGGCUGACGUUUAGGAACGAAAGUGUGGGGAGCGAGUAGGAUUAGAUACCCAGGUAGUCCACACCGCAAAAGAUGGGCCAUAUAUGUAUGCGUACGUAUACAUGUAAGUUAAUGCAAGAGGGUCCCGCCUGAUGAGUAUGAUUGCAAAGUUAAAAUUUAAGAAAUCUGACGGUUCGCCAACCAAUUACAGGAGUGUAGUUUAAUGCGAUGAUCCGCGAGGGACCUUACCAAAGUUUCAACCACACCUGUAUUAUGGGGGCAGGCGUCGUAUGGCCAUCGUCAGCCCUUCAUAAAGGGCACAACAUCGGCAGCCGAGCAGAAAACUAUACAACCACGGCGGUGCCUUGUAUGAAGUCAGGUCCUUACGGCCUAUAUAUUCUGGGCGACCCAUGCGCUACAAAUCUAAUAGGCGAAUAAACAAAAAUGGUGCCAAGAAAGCUGGAAGGUUAAAUGGGAGUUAGGUUCGGGGCAUCCACUGAAAUGGGGGCGUGAAGCAGGAUUUGAAAGUAAUUGGGAAGUAGAGCGUUUCGGUGAAUGGAGCUCUGGCGUUCAUACAGACCGCUCGUCGCUCCCGCCAAGCAGUGGUGACUUAAAGUACGGGCAGAACUCUGGGUUCACAGAAGUGGCUACAUAAGUGUGUCAUGGGAGGGCGGCAGGGGAGGAUACGUACGAUUGGGAAGCUGCAAGGGGGGAUAAGUCGAAACAUGGUGGGGGUACUGGAAAAUGCCCUCGGAUUAAUGCAUGU
rnacentral:rRNA from 1 species